CCUACGGGUGGCAGCAGUGAGGAAUAUUGGUCAAUGGCCGGAAGGCUGAACCAGCCAUGCCGCGUGAAGGUCAGUGCCCUAUGGGCGUUAAACUUCUUUUGUGCGGGAGCAAUAAUGGUCACGUGUGGCCAGACGAGAGUACCGUACGAAUAAGCAUCGGCUAACUCCGUGCCAGCAGCCGCGGUAAUACGGAGGAUGCGAGCGUUAUCCGGAUUUAUUGGGUUUAAAGGGUGCGUAGGUGGUUAAUUAAGUCAGCGGUGAAAGUUUGUGGCUCAACCAUAAAAUUGCCGUUGAAACUGGUUGACUUGAGUAUAUUUGAGGUAGGCGGAAUGCGUGGUGUAGCGGUGAAAUGCAUAGAUAUCACGCAGAACUCCGAUUGCGAAGGCAUCUCACGAAUCCGCGAUUGACGCUGAUGCACGAAAGCGUGGGUAUCAAACAGGAUUAGAUACCCCAGUAGUC
rnacentral:rRNA from 1 species